AGAAACUUUCAUGGACAUUUUGAAAGAAUUGGGCAAACACAUGUUUGAUUUGGAUUUGAAGAAUUGCAGUUUUUUGUCCGAGUCUUGGUUUAUUCCUGAAAUCCGCCUUGUUGACAUUGUGCCUUGUAAAGAGCUUGGAUUGGUUGUAAGG